CUCCUCAGACUGAGCUAAAAGGAAUCUCCAUUCCUAAGGGGGGCUUGGGAUUCUGCCUGCACCAACCCAUAGUAGAUGUUUCCAGAUGCUGGGGAAGAGAAGACUGGCUCUGGCUUGCCAAGUAAACCACAGAUCCAUCUCCAUCUUGCAGAUGGAAAUGCUGAGCAAGGCAACAGGGUCCUUUAUAUUCCACCAAGCAAAAAGAAUAGUUAAGUAUAUUGAGUUCCUACUCUUCGAAGAGCUGUAUGCACGUUAUGCCAUUUAAUUAUGUUAACAACCCCAAGAAGUUGGUAUUAUUAUUACCAUCCACACUUUAUAGUAAAUGAGUUCAAGUGGAUGCAACUUAUAUGUAAAUGGUUGAUAUCUGGCUCCAGAAUCCACAUACUUAACCAUUACACUGUGUUACCCCUUUAUGAAGUGCUGUUGUUAUUGGAGUGUGUUGGUGUAUGUGUGCAUGCUUCUUUGGUGCAUAGAGAGUUUUUGUUAUCUCGUUUAGAUUUGGGGUAAGUGAAGAAUUUGUGGGUGUCUUGAUCUUUUCUUUUAAGCCAAAACACUGUAGGUCAGAAACAAGAUGUUUUAUUUGCUGGAGCAGUGCUAUUUAAAGUAAGGACUACUGACUGCUGCUGGCCCAUGAACUGUUGGUUACGAUCUGAGAGGUAAGUAAAGAAAUUGAGAGUAAGCAUUUAGACACUUUUAUAGCAAUUCAACAGAGUAAGUUUAUGUCUAUUGGAUUUAAUAAAAACAGGGGGCUUGUAUUUUGCAUGUGUUUUUAAUUUCAUUUUUCUAGUAAUUCAUGGCUAGUCCUUGGCUCACGAAGCACUGCAGUAGAGUUUAUAACAGAUGUAAAAGUCUGCAGGAUUUUAGAUAUAUUCCUUUCACAGGGGAAAUGAAACCCAGCACAAUUAUUAAAAUGUGGAGGAGCUGCUCCUCUAAAUCCUCCAACAGCUCCACUGAUGGUCAAGAUAAAAAUACAACGAAGAGGGAGAGGUGGCCAAGAGGAGGGAGGAAUGGGAGAGGAAGAGGAGAAUGAAGAGGAGGGACAGUCUUGCCAACUGCACAGAACAGGAGCCUCUUUACUUCUUGGCCUUGGGCCAGAUCACUGUGGCUGGAAUGCACACACAGAAGUGAGCCAUCUAGAGUCAUCCAGACAAAGACAACUCUCUAGGAAAGAUGGAGCAACCAGAUAGAGAAGCCAGACCCCUGAAGAAUCAGCGGAAAUCAGCCACCAUACCAGCGCCAACUGUCCCAUGAGAAAGAAAUGUGUAUCUUGUUUAAGCCUCUAUUAGUCUGAGACUAUUUAAUGCAACCAAAGUUCCAUCCAAAUAAAUAGAUUUCCACAAAAA